ensembl:snRNA U6 U6 spliceosomal RNA
GUGCUCGCUUCACCAGCACAUGUAGUAAAAUUGGAACGAUACAGAGAUUAGCACAGCCCCUGCACGAGGAUGACACACAAAUUCAUGAAGAAAAGUCUGAUUAU